rnacentral:tRNA from 1 species
CCUGGUGGCUCAGAGGUCAGCGUCUGCCUGCAAUGCAGGAGACCUGGGUUCGAACCCUGGGUCAGGA